GCCAGACUCCUACGGGAGGCAGCAGUGGGGAAUAUUGGGCAAUGGACGCAAGCCUGACCCAGCAACGCCGCGUGAAGGAAGAAGGCUUUCGGGUUGUAAACUAUUGUCCACAGGGAAGAAAAAGACUGUACCUGUGAAGAAAGCUCCGGCUAACUACGUGCCAGCAGCCGCGGUAAUACGUAGGGAGCAAGCGUUAUCCGGAUUUAUUGGGUGUAAAGGGUGCGUAGACGGGAUAACAAGUUAGUUGUGAAAACCCUCGGCCCAACUGAGGAACUGCAACUAAAACUAUUAUUCUUGAGUGCAGGAGGGGAAAGUGGAAUUCCUAGUGUAGCGGUGAAAUGCGUAGAUAUUAGGAAGAACACCAGUGGCGAAGGCGACUUUCUGGACUGUAACUGACGUUGAGGCACGAAAGUGUGGGGAGCAAACAGGAUUAGAUACCCCAGUAGC
rnacentral:rRNA from 1 species